rnacentral:tRNA from 2 species
GGGGAUAUAGCUCAGUUGGCUAGAGCAUCUCAUUUGCAAUGAGAAGGUCACCGGUUCGAAUCCGGUUAUCUCCA